rnacentral:rRNA from 1 species
AGAGUUUGAUCAUGGCUCAGGAUGAACGCUAGCGGCAGGCUUAAUACAUGCAAGUCGAGGGGCAGCAGGUCUGUAGCAAUACAGAUGCUGGCGACCGGCAAACGGGUGCGGAACACGUACAGAACCUUCCUUCGAGCGGGGAAUAGCCCAGAGAAAUUUGGAUUAAUACCCCAUAGUAUAAUGAAGAGGCAUCUCUUUAUUAUUAAAGAUUUAUCACUUGGAGAUGGCUGUGCGGCUGAUUAGGUAGUUGGCGGGGUAACGGCCCACCAAGCCUACGAUCAGUAACUGGUGUGAGAGCACGACCAGUCACACGGGCACUGAGACACGGGCCCGACUCCUACGGGAGGCAGCAGUAAGGAAUAUUGGUCAAUGGACGCAAGUCUGAACCAGCCAUGCCGCGUGGAGGAUGAAGGUCCUCUGGAUUGUAAACUUCUUUUAUAUGGGACGAAAAAAGGGUUUUCUAACUCGACUGACGGUACCAUAUGAAUAAGCACCGGCUAACUCCGUGCCAGCAGCCGCGGUAAUACGGAGGGUGCAAGCGUUAUCCGGAUUCACUGGGUUUAAAGGGUGCGUAGGUGGGUUGGUAAGUCAGUGGUGAAAUCCCCGAGCUUAACUCGGGAACUGCCAUUGAUACUAUCAGUCUUGAAUACCGUGGAGGUCAGCGGAAUAUGUCAUGUAGCGGUGAAAUGCUUAGAUAUGACAUAGAACACCAAUUGCGAAGGCAGCUGGCUACACGAAUAUUGACACUGAGGCACGAAAGCGUGGGGAUCAAACAGGAUUAGAUACCCUGGUAGUCCACGCCCUAAACUAUGGAUACUCGACAUACGCGAUACACUGUGUGUGUCUGAGCGAAAGCAUUAAGUAUCCCACCUGGGAAGUACGAUCGCAAGAUUGAAACUCAAAGGAAUUGACGG